rnacentral:rRNA from 1 species
UACGGAGGGAGCUAGCGUUGUUCGGAAUUACUGGGCGUAAAGCGCACGUAGGCGGCUUUGUAAGUUAGAGGUGAAAGCCCGGGGCUCAACCCCGGAAUUGCCUUUAAGACUGCAUCGCUUGAAUCCGGGAGAGGUGAGUGGAAUUCCGAGUGUAGAGGUGAAAUUCGUAGAUAUUCGGAAGAACACCAGUGGGCGAAAGGCGGCUCACUGGACCGGUAUUGACGCUGAGGUGACGAAAGCGUGGGGAGCAAACAGG